UGUGGGCAACCAUAUCUUAUUCCCAAGCUUAUACUAGAUACAAAUAAAUAAAAAAAAGACUCAUAAUGGUAACAAGGAAUAUAGGCUAUGAUACUAAUAAAAGUUGCUUAUAUGAUCUAGCUUGGUGUAUGUAUUCAUUUUUUUUUUAUUCUUUUUCUUUUCUUUUUCUUUUUCUUUUCCGGUUAAACCACUUACAAAUAGUCUCAUUACAAUAAAUUGACUUGAAAGAAAUAAAGAAAAUAAAACUUGGAUCUAAAACUGGAUGUUAUUAAAACCACUCUUUCAUUAAUCAAUCAAAACCACAACACUAAACUUGGGAAUAACAAAAGAUAAAAGCAAUUAAUAAGGAAAAACACAAGAAAUAGGAUGUCGAAGAUUACCUCAACUGGGCAUAAUACAUCCCACACCGAG
rnacentral:lncRNA from 1 species